CGCCUGGAGGGCAGCGGCCCGGCCCUCGCCACGUUCCCGAGGGAACUCGGGACGCGUGCUUAGGUGGCUUUGGGUCUAUCGAUCGCCGGCUGUGUGCAGGGUCUUUCUGUCGUGCGCGUGAAAAGGUUGUACUGCAUCAAUCUGUCGUGCUGCCCUGCCCCGCCCCGGUGUAAAAUAACUCGCUGUGGAGGCUCACGGUGCGGAUGAGACCUGUUUCCAGGUUCCGAACUUGGCGGAAGUUGAGUGAAUGUCACCAACUUGGCAGGUGGAAGACGGUUGCGUGAAGCGUACACUGCUGUUAGCUCAACACCAUCUGGGAGCACAACGGUGACUUAAGGUUGUCCUCGGUGAGGAUUUUGAAAAUAGGACCUUCAUAAGAGUUUGGAUCAUUUAAAGUUCCCAGAAGCCUGAGGAGUACUGAAACAAGUGACUUUGUAUAAUUCACAAAUAUACAUUUAUAACUGAGGAUAUGAAUAAAUAUUUUAAUGUGUUUGAGGA